CGGCGCCUGCUGUAUGACGGUCAAGGCCAUCAUGCCCGUGCGUUUUAUGAAUCCGGUCGAGCCGCUGGGCACCUCGCCCACCGCCAUGCGCACCACGGAUACCGGCGAGCACUUACAGCUCGAUCUAUGGUCCGGCGCAGUUUCCGGGCUGAUCGGUACUCAAAGCAAUUUGAGCCUUCGGCCUGGCGACGUAGAUAGCUCGGCAACGCG
rnacentral:sRNA from 16 species